rnacentral:lncRNA from 10 species
UCCGCUAGGGAGGGGUCGGGACGAGCCGUCGCGGGUGGAUCCGCCCGGCCGAGCAACGACCCGCCCGGGCGCGAGGACCACGGGCUGUCGUGCGGGAGGCGUCGAGGGGCAGUAAACUCCGUUCGUGACCAAACGGAGACGAUUUGAAACUUGCUGCUCACACUGGAUCACCGUCUGGAAGGUGACGGAGGGGUUCCCACUCUCAUGUGAUGGCAGUGGCCAAACACAACACCUGACACUGGGCAGGUGAGAUUUACCGCAGUUUAUUAGUUACAACAUACUCAAUGGGAAAGGACACCACAAGCCACGCAGGGCCACACAGGGGGUGUACUCAGGAGUGGAGAGAACAACCAGGGGUUGUGGAGGGCAGGCUUUGUAGUGAUAAGAGAGUGAGGUGCUCCCUGGUUCCUGCUUCUGAUUUGACUGGUCCUGGGUGCAACGGGGCUGGCAUGAGACGACUAAAAACUCCCCAGGUGAAUCCAAUGAGCAACCAGGCUAAGGACCAGUGAUCUAAC